CCCCCUCAAAUUAUACAUAUUUUGAUUUCAUAUUUUCCUAUUUGGUUAUUCUUAUUACUAAAUUUUUAAAAUUACUAAUAUUAUGGUCUCAGAUGCCGCCAUGCAGGCCUAGAAAACAUGUUUUGUUAAACAUUUCCCUUGGCCUUUCUGCACGUUGCCACCAGGGCCCGCCAAAGCAAGCAGCAGUACCCCCCAGAUAUUUAUCCCCCCCCCCCGAACGAGAAUAUGAAAACUGGUUAUAUUUCACAUUCAUGAAGUCUCGGCCCUCCACUGGUUAAGGACAAACGAGCAUAUUUCUGGAGCUUAUUGUUUGAUUACUGCUAUUUUACAUUGUCUUGUCUGGUCAACUUUAGACUUCAUGUCUUCAAUAUCCAACUGUAAUUUAUCAUGUCCAAUGGUACCACAUUGUUCCGUAAGGUUUAACACGCGAAGGUGUUCAUUUUCUCUCCAUUUUAAAAGCUUCUCAAAAGAAGACUCGAUAUUUCCAUUUUUCUUCAUUUGCUUUUUAUUGUGGUGCGGAGCAUCGGGAUAUUCUUUUCUCUUCAUUGAUAUAUGUAGCAACUUUUGCAACUCUCUUACGAUGUACGUCAAAAGGCUUUAGAGCUUUUCUUGUGCGAGGAAACGGUCUCAACAGCACCUUCGAAUGCCUGUCAAGUUUGAUCUCCUCUGAACCGUUUUCAGCUUAUGUCAACGUAUGUUGUUACUUAUCGUGUGUUGUAUUGUUCUAUUCGCUAUUGCCCAACAAGAAAUAUGUCAUUCAAAACCACUUUGCCUGGUAACCAAUCUUAAUCAAUGAUCUUAAUAUACUUCCACUUGAUCACCAUGUAUAUAGUCGCAUAUAAAACCCGACUUUUAUUGAAACCAGUUUGACUGUCUGCGCCAACUUGCAAUACGCUUAAAGUUAUUAUCGGUCAAAUAUUUAUUUGUGUACAUUUCGUACACAAGAA